rnacentral:tRNA from 1 species
GUUGGCUCAGUGAUAGAGUGCUUGCCUUGCAAGCAUGAGGCCCUGGGUUCAAUACCUCAGCAACA